UUUCAGUGUAAAAUGUGUAUCCCUGUUCGAUGACAAUCAGCUGUAGUUGAGAAAGUACAGUAUAUAUAUCUACAGUAUAUAGCAAACCUUCUAACUUACACAACUAUAUCUUAUACAGACAGAGUUAGCAUGUGAUAGAUAACAGUUUGUGAGAUUCUAAACAAUUUCAAGGAUUUUCCUAACAAUUCAACGGAUUUCCUAUUUUAGUAUAUAUUUACAAACAUUAAAAAUGCCGGGUUACAUUCAUCAUAUACAAUGGUGUGUCUCCGACCUACAAGCUACGUUGGACAAAAUGAUAAAUUCAUUCGGGUUCAGACAAACCUUUCUCAGGGUAGGAGCAAACACUGAGACAGUGAUAGAGUCUGGUUCAGCACGGUUUCUUAUCAGUCAGAGAGGUUGCAAUACACAAUCUACUCCGGGUACUGGUUUAAUCUCUGAAUGUACUCCGGAUACUGGUUUAAGCUCUGAACUAACUCCAGGUUCUGGUUUAAGCUCUGAACCAACUCCAGGUGCUUGUAUUAGCUCUGAACUGACUCCGGGUACUACUUCAAACAGUGAAUAUCCUUGGUUGAGCUGUAAAUGCCGGGCUGAGAAGAUACACACAGUGGAUUCUGUAUUUAAUAUCUGCCUGGAGGUUGGAGAUGUCGAUGCCGUGUAUAAACGAAUGAUCCAGAACGGAUCCAUAUCUCAUAAUUCUCCAACAACCGUGAGAAGUAAAGACGGAGAAAUAAGGGUUGCAGUUGUAAGUUCUCCGUGUCCUAAUGUAAUCCACAGUAUUGUAAAUACUGAAGGUUUCUCAGGGGGCUUUCUACCAGGAUUUACUCCAGUAGGGCCCGGAGAUAGGCUAGAACCUGAUCUCGGAGUAGAUCUGAGUAUUGAUCAUGUGACAUAUGUUUGUAAUGUUGGAGGGAGUCAAAAUAUCUUGUCCUGGUACAACCAGUGCUGUGGGAUGGAGAGGUUUAUGGUCAACGCAGAGGACGACCCCGAGGCCGGAAUCCAGAUAAAGGACGAGGCCGGGAUGAGGAUGAUGGUGGGGGAGUGGCUCUCUGAGUGGAUGUGUCGUGAAGAGGGCGUGUCCUGGGAACAACGGGGCGGAGAUGAUACAAGAAACUUUAAACUAGUUCUUGCCGAACCCCUUCCUGAUCAUGAGCACAGUCAUGUUUACAAGUUCAUCCAGGAGCAUGAUGGACCUGGCCUCCAGCAUAUUGGACUCCUUACCCAGGAUAUAAUCAAGACCGUCUCUACCAUGAAGACCCACGGAGCAAGGUUUCGAACCCCUCCUCCCACCUAUUAUACACUGGAGAAUAAAAAAGAAGAUAUUAUAUCUGUCGGUUCAGAUCCAACAGUUUUUCAGGAUCUAGGGAUUCUUAUAGAUAAGGAACCUGGUUGUGAAAUUGAGAAAGGAAAUUCCCUUUAUAUUCUCCAGAUUUUCUCACAUCCAUUAUUUAUCAAAGAUACGUUUUUCUUGGAAGCCAUUCAACGCCAUGGCUCAAGAGGAUUCGGAGCCGGGAAUAUAAGAGCUCUAGCUCAAUCCAUCAUAGAGCUGGCCAGGCUCAAGGAAAUACAAGAAAAAGAGGAUAAAAAUCAAGAAAAGGAGGAUAAAAAUCAAGAAAAAGAGGAUAAAAAUCAAGAAAAAGAGGAGAAAAAUCAAGAAAAAGGGGAGAAAAAUCAAGAAAAUGUUGAAAAAUAUUUGAGAACUGAAAAUGAAUUAUGUCGGGAAGAGGAGGAAAGAGGAAAAGCCUGAAAAGUGAUAUUUUAUAAAUCGGAAAAUCUUUCUUAAAAAGUUUUUACUUUUCUCAAAUUCAUAUUUUUAAUUAUAGAAACAGCGUAAUACAAUUUGAAGGGACAGACCGGCCAUGUAAGCCGUUCUGUCCCUCUAAACAUAAAAAUUGUAUCGUUGAUCCAAAAGUUUGAAUGCAAAGAAAUUGAGUUUUUGCUACAAACUCUAUCUUUCUAAAUUCUUUAUCUUUGCAACCAUUUAAUGUAAACC
rnacentral:misc_RNA from 1 species